CUCAGGAUGAACGCUAGCGACAGGCCUAACACAUGCAAGUCGAGGGGCAUCGGGGCGAGGAGCAAUCCUUGCCGCCGGCGACCGGCGCACGGGUGAGUAACGCGUAUGCGACCUGCCCGUUGCAGGGGGAUAAUCGGGAGAAAUCCCGUCUAAUACCGCGUAAUGCCGCGGGGCUGCAUGGCCCUGCGGCCAAAGGAAGCGAUUCCGGCAACGGAUGGGCAUGCGUGACAUUAGCUAGUUGGCGGGGCAACGGCCCACCAAGGCGACGAUGUCUAGGGGUUCUGAGAGGAAGGUCCCCCACACUGGUACUGAAACACGGACCAGACUCCUACGGGAGGCAGCAGUGAGGAAUAUUGGUCAAUGGGCGCGAGCCUGAACCAGCCAAGUCGCGUGAGGGAUGACGGCCCUACGGGUUGUAAACCUCUUUUGUCGGGGAGCAAAUCCCGCCACGUGUGGCGGAGUCGAGAGUACCCGAAGAAAAAGCAUCGGCUAACUCCGUGCCAGCAGCCGCGGUAAUACGGAGGAUGCGAGCGUUAUCCGGAUUUAUUGGGUUUAAAGGGUGCGUAGGCGGACUGUCAAGUCAGCGGUAAAAUACGGGGGCUCAACCUCCGCCCGCCGUUGAAACUGACGGUCUUGAGUGGGCGAGAAGUAUGCGGAAUGCGUGGUGUAGCGGUGAAAUGCAUAGAUAUCACGCAGAACUCCGAUUGCGAAGGCAGCAUACCGGCGCCCAACUGACGCUGAAGCACGAAAGCGUGGGUAUCGAACAGGAUUAGAUACCCUGGUAGUCCACGCAGUAAACGAUGAAUACUAGCUGUCCGGGGCGAAUGAGCCCUGGGUGGCACAGCGAAAGCGUUAAGUAUUCCACCUGGGGAGUACGCCGGCAACGGUGAAACUCAAAGGAAUUGACGGGGGCCCGCACAAGCGGAGGAACAUGUGGUUUAAUUCGAUGAUACGCGAGGAACCUUACCCGGGCUCAAACGACACAGGAACGUACCUGAAAGGGUUCGGCUCUACGGAGCCUGUGUCGAGGUGCUGCAUGGUUGUCGUCAGCUCGUGCCGUGAGGUGUCGGCUUAAGUGCCAUAACGAGCGCAACCCCCAUCGACAGUUGCUAACAGGUCAGGCUGAGGACUCUGUCGAGACUGCCGGCGCAAGCUGCGAGGAAGGCGGGGAUGACGUCAAAUCAGCACGGCCCUUACGUCCGGGGCGACACACGUGUUACGAUGGCAGGUACAGCGGGAAGCCACCUGGCGACAGGGAGCGGAACCCGAAAGCCUGUCUCAGUUCGGAUUGGAGUCUGCAACCCGACUCCAUGAAGCUGGAUUCGCUAGUAAUCGCGCAUCAGCCACGGCGCGGUGAAUACGUUCCCGGGCCUUGUACACACCGCCCGUCAAGCCAUGGAAGCCGGGGGUGCCUGAAGUGCGCUGCCGCGAGGAGCGCCCUAGGGUAAAACUCGGUGACUGGGGCUAAGUCGUAACAAGGUA
rnacentral:rRNA from 1 species